rnacentral:rRNA from 1 species
UACGGGGGGAGCAAGCGUUGUUCGGAUUUACUGGGCGUAAAGGGUGCGUAGGCGGCCACCGCAAGUCGACUGUGAAAUCUCCGGGCUUAACCCGGAAAGGUCAGCCGAUACUGCGGGGCUAGAGUGCAGAAGGGGCAACUGGAAUUCUCGGUGUAGCGGCGAAAUGCGUAGAUAUCGAGAGGAACACCUGCGGCGAAGGCGGGUUGCUGGGCUGACACUGACGCUGAUGCGCGAAAGCUAGGGGAGCGAACGGG